rnacentral:rRNA from 1 species
CGGCGGACGGGGGAGUAACGCGUGGGUAACCUGCCUCCAUACAGGGGGAUAACAGUUGGAAACGGCUGCUAAUACCGCAUAAGCGCACAGUACCGCAUGGUACGGUGUGAAAAACUCCGGUGGUAUGAGAUGGACCCGCGUCUGAUUAGGUAGUUGGUGGGGUAACGGCCUACCAAGCCGACGAUCAGUAGCCGACCUGAGAGGGUGACCGGCCACAUUGGGACUGAGACACGGCCCAA